AAGAUUCGCCCUUGGGCCUAUCUCUCUCAGCUGUGCGCUUCGGCUGCACGCUUGUUGAAUCCUCACACACCUGUGCACACUUCCGGUUUGGCCUGUCGGUUAAUUCUGGCAUGCCCUUCCGCUUUACAUAACUACCAAGUCUAGAAUGUAUAAUACUAUAAAAUAA
rnacentral:misc_RNA from 1 species